rnacentral:rRNA from 1 species
AUUGAACGCUGGCGGCAUGCCUUACACAUGCAAGUCGAACGCCAGCAUGAUCCAGCUUGCUAGAUUGAUGGCGAGUGGCGUAUGGGUGAGUAAUACAUCCGAACGUGUCCGGUAGCGGGGGAUAACUAGUCGAAAGAUUAGCUAAUACCGCAUACGACCUGAUGGUGAUAGUUGGGGACCGCAAGGCCUCAUGCUAUAGUAGCGGCCGAGGUAUGAUUACCUAGUUGGUGGGGGAAAGUCUCACCAAGGCGACGAUCAGUAGCUGGCCUGAGAGGACGAUCAGCCACCUUGGCACGAGAAAACGGCCCGAACUCCUACGGGAGGAGCCAUAGGGAAUUUUGGGCCAAGGGCGGAAAGCCGAACAAGGCAAUGCCGCGUGGGUAAAGAGGUCCUUGGAGUGGAAAGGCACGUUUGUCGGGAAAGAACUGUCUGUGGUUAGAACGUGGAGUCUAUGACGGUACCGAAAGAAUAAGGACGGGCUAACUACGUG